rnacentral:rRNA from 1 species
AUGAAGCCACUCACCCUACUAGCGACUAUAGCCACGUUCCUCCUCCCGAGCCUUCUCCCGCAACGACCAAACCUAACCCGCGCCUCCCCUGCACCCCCCGCCUCCUCUCCUGCCGCCGCCACCUCCUCCCCGCGACCCCCGCCUGCUCCCCUAGCGCCGCCGCCUCCUGGGCCUCGCCCUCACCGGCUCGCGACCCCGCCCUCCUCCCCUGCCGCCGCCUCCAGCCCAAUCCCCUCACAGGCUUCCUCUUUCCCUCCACUCCCCAGACGCCGCCACUUGUGCUUGGCAGAAGGAGUGGCUGCGAUGAUGGAAGAUGCGUGA